ensembl:snRNA U6 U6 spliceosomal RNA
GUGCUCGCUUCAGCAGUGCAUAUACUAAAACUGGAACAAUACAGAGAAGAUUAGCAUGGCCCCUGCACAAGGAUGACAUGCAAAUUCGUGAAGCAUUCCAUAUUAAA